AUUCCAUGAUAUAGGCAUCUCUUGAGAAACUCCUAGAAUCUUUCCAAUGCUUCAAACAAUGAUUCAUCAUUCAUUUGCAUAAAAUUAGUAAUAUCGUCACGCAUUUU
rnacentral:snoRNA from 1 species